rnacentral:lncRNA from 1 species
GAUUUUCAGUGCAAGUAUGACGAUGAAGGAUUACCAUUUCGCAAUCUUGUUGCAAUCGUUGUCGAAGCGCGGGGCUGUCACCAGCAGGGGCGCAGAGUGCUCUGAGCUGCAAAAUGCAAUGGGCAUGAAAUGCUACGGCGCGCAGAUGUACGUGAUGAUCGGUACCUGUAAGGUCUUGAUGUUAGGGUUAGCGUCUUGGAGUAGAAUUUUUGUAGAUCAUUGUCUGGGUGUUGAGGAAUUUGAGACGAUUUGUGGUUUGGUGUGUAGAUGGGGGCAUGAUCUUACGUUGGCGCCGUAGGGAUGUCUCCGGCAUUGGCUACGUUUUGCACAAGGACGCAGUAUGUGGCUGUUCAUGAAUGAGAUGGUUGUCGUCCGCCCCACUGAAGUCUCGAAUCCCACUGUUCAGGCGUUGUUAAUUCGCAUCACCAUCUCGUGUGCGUCAAUGGAAGCUCCGUAGGAAGAGUUCAAUAGAAUGCCGCUGUUUCCUAUCACUGCGCAUGUGCGUUACCGCUUCUGGGGGUUGAUGACCACGCCAUGCCAAAGUCUAUCAGAACACUCGUGAACCGACCGCUUCACGUACUCUACCAGUUGCAGGAUUUGGGGCUCAAACUGCCGGUUGUCAGACCAGUUCAACCGUGAUCGCAUCUUUGGCCAGAAAGGCUCGAACAUAGCGUUGCAGAAAAUCUCUAGCUGCCAGCUGGCGAUCUUCCUCCGAAAAAACGGCAUGAGCACGAUGUUUCUGGAUUUGCUAUGUUGGUAUCGCAGUGCGUCAAUUGGCAACCUCUGCUUGCUGCGAACAAAUUUCACAGUUUAUCUCCUGUAAAGGAUUGGGGUUCGGUCGAUUGCAGGUCACCACUCGAGGCUUGUGAAUGUUCUUUUCCCCCAACCAUGAAUCAACGCAACGUUUUGUGAAUUGAGAGGUUUCGUAGGGUUUCCACGCUUAAAAAUUCGAACAAGGACGUACCAAUUAGAGCAAGGAAUACAUUUACCGGAGAUAUAGCGUCUUCUUCCCAGUGUACAUCACACGAUUCUCAUGGCUUUUCGGAUUGCCCAUCUUGCCAGGAUAAAUAUCUUCCAUUUUGUGCACCGAGCCUUUUUCAUUGCCGAGAAUCUCUAGAUUUUGCUGCUCAAGCUCAUUGGAAAGGUAAUCCACGUCGUUGUAGUCCAUCUCGGAACCAAUGUGCUCUACCGUUGCAUUCGAGUUAGAAUGGAAUUUCGACCUCUCGCUCAAGGCAGGCAGAAAGCCCUCUUGAGAAACCCAUUGAGGAAGACCCCAUGCUGGCGGUGAACAUAGUCACAGUAGUCAACAACAGAAAGACCUGCGAUUGCGGCAUUGUUGCAGUUAUGUUUCGAUCCGUUUCUACAACAGUUGCUGCCUUGUUGGAGGAAUGCGAUGGCUACAAGUACGUCCAGGAAGUGGGAUUUCCGGAGAUGGUAACAACCUGUAGCGGACUUGAUGUUACUGUAACAAGAUCUGACAGGACAUUCAUCCCAGAGUGCUUCAUAUUGCAGGCUCCAGCUUCAGAUUUGCACCAAACCCCGCGCUCUGUAAACUACCCUGGUGCUCAUCUUCAGGCUUUGUAGCUCAUCAUCCUUUGCCAGGUACACAGAGCUUCAAAUUUGUGUGUAUUGUUCAUUCUUUUGAAUGCAGCUUCCUUUCCGACUGAGCAAUUGUUGAAUGGGUAAAACGGCUUUUAAGUCCACGGCAUGAAUUUUUUUGGGUUGGCCGGCAUUGGUAAUCGUUCAUUCAAUGAAAGGCGUCAGUGAGACAAGGCUUAGCUUCUCAGGUCAGGAGCACACACGUUGCGUUUGGAAGUUUUCUCUUUCCUCUCAACUCUUCCUGAAUUACUGAGGUAAAAAAUUAUAUAUAUUUGUUAUAAAAUUAAAUGCUCAUAUAAUGAUGUGAGGAUUUCAUCUCGCAUAAUAUGUAUUGAUUUUAAUCAAUAUUCUAAUGAAGUGAAGAUGGUUGUUGUAAAGAUAGACUGUAACUGUCAGAAAGGUUGAAGGGGUUUAGAUAUAAAUUGGAUAUGAAUACAUGCAAAUGGAUAGUCUUUGUGACGGGGAAAAAUUAGUAAUCAAUCGUAAUUCUCUAGUGGACCUCGUUAAUAUAGAAGAUUACCAGGAAGUUUUUUUGGGUUUCCUACAUUCAAUUUUCUUUUUAUCAUUCUCACACAAACUAGCUAAAACAUAUAACUAUUUCUUAGCAAUUCUUAACAUAUACAAUUUGUAAAUUGUUACCUGGUAGUAAUUUGUAAUUCUUUCGAUAAAUGUAGUUAUAAAGAACAUUUUUUCACAAAAACGGUAGCAACAGAUAGCCGAAUAUUUUACGGAAAAAAACAUUAAAAGAUCGAAAAAAAAUUCUUUGAAAUGAAUGUAAAAUGUGUAUCAAUUAUCAUUAGAAUAAAGAAUGUCUUCUUAGGCACGACAACGUUCCAAGACCAUAGCAUCUUUUACCCUUUCUUGGUUCACUUAUAGUAGGAAAACAAGAAAAUGGGAAACAUAUAUAUGUACUCUACUACUAAUCACCUGAAAAUUUCUGACAAAUACUUGAGAAACCAAAUUAUUGAAGCGGGUUUUGGUGUCGGAGCGGCAACUACUAUAUACCACCAAUGCACAUACAAGACAUUCUAUGCAGAAUUCGCGACAUGCCCCUGGGAUCUCAAAGCAAAUAGCCUUAACAUAGUUAGAAUACACGGACAGGAUAAUAUAAUGGCUUCCUCACUCUAGAAAAUAAUGUUGGCAUUGUACCACUUCAGCAGUUCUCCCAGCGCCAGUCUGUCGAGUCGCAGCAGUCGUUGAAUCGUAGCCAAGGAAGGCUGCUUGCUCUGCUCGAUAAAAAGUGACCAGCUAGUCGGUAAUACGGACCCGAAACACACGAGUUGUAAAAGAUGUCACUGGUGAUAGCGAGUUCCUCUCCAAACCUACCCAAUAUCGUAGAAUUCUACAAAAUCGGAUCUUAUCCCACCAGGUGAAUCGGAAUCAAGGUCGAUUGAAAAGCUGGGCGAAUAAGAAAUGUCGGGACUUGUCGUGGCGUAAGAUUGUGCGCAGAGCAGGUGGUUAAUUACUCGGGCUUUAGAAGAUUCUGGUUGCUCUGGCAGUUCCCCAAUCCUUUUCAAUUCCUUCUGUGAACCGUUACAUCAUGCUAUGUCAGAAUCUAAAAUGCAGGAUAAAGCAUUUCAUAAAUGGAAACUAACGUCAAUUAACUGACGCUGGUUGGAGAGUCCACCUUCCAGCUGCAGCCUCUCAAAUACGUUCGUUGGACAGUAAUCAGGUCAGCUACUCGUGCAAAACAAAGACUAAGCACACGCAACUAUUUGCAUGAAAUAUACGAAGUUCAAUGUCACACCAAGUGAGA